ACAAAAUUGAAUCCUAUUCUGAACUGUUUGAGCUCUACCGAUUUGUUAAACGUGUUAGCUUCUUUUGAAUUGUAUGCUCUGGUUCACUCUAACUUUGUAGUGAAUCACUAUGUCGGUGGCGUUUGCACCUCACAGGCAGCGUGGAAAGGGUGAUAUAACACCCGCUGGAAUACAAAAGUUAUUAGACGAGAACAACCAGCUGAUCCAGUGUAUAAUGGACUUCCAGAGUAAAGGCAAAACAGCAGAAUGUUCACAAUAUCAACAGAUGCUCCACAGAAAUCUAGUGUACCUGGCCACGAUAGCAGACUCCAAUCAGAACAUGCAGUCUCUCCUCCCUGCUCCGCCCACUCAAAACAUGCCCAUGGGCCCUGGUGGGAUGAACCAAAGUGGACCCCCCACUCAGCCUCCUCAUGGUCACAAUAUGCCCUCUGAAGGAAUGGUCAGCGGUGGCCCUCCAGCCCCUCACAUGCAGAACCAGAUGAAUGGCCAGAUGCCUGGGCCCAAUCACAUGCCCAUGCAAGGUCCCGGUCCAGGCCCCAACCAGCCCCCAAACAUGCCCAGUGGCUCUAUGAAUAUGCCCCCCAGCAGCCAUGGCUCGAUGGGUGGUUACAACCACACUGUCCCUUCAUCCCAGGGCAUCCCAGCUCAGAGCCAAAUGAACAUGACCCAGGGCCAGCCCAUGGGAAACUACGGGCCCCGGCCUAACAUGAACAUGCAGCCCACUCAAGGUCCCAUGAUGCACCAGCAGCCUCCCGCUCAGCAGUAUAACAUGCCUCCUGGUGGCGGUGGACAGCACUACCAAGGACAACAGAACCCAAUGGGCAUGAUGGGACAGGUCAAUCAAGGGAACCAUGUCAUGGGGCAGAGGCCAAUGCCUCCCUACAGACCCCCACAGCAAGGACCCCCUCAGCAGUACCCAGGGCAGGAAGACUACUAUGGGGACCAGUACAGUCACGCAGGACAGGGAGCCUCAGAAGGUAAUGCCCAGUAUGGCCAACAGCAGGAAGCCUACCAGCAAGGCCCCCCCCAGCAGCAGGGCUACCCUCCCCAGCAGCAGUAUCCAGGGCAACAGGGCUACCCACCACAGCAGCAGGGUUACGGUCCGACCCAAAGUGCCCCAGGACAGUAUCCUAACUAUCCUCAGGGGCAGGGGCAGCAGUAUGGAGGCUACCGCCCUCCUCAACCUGGACCCCCACAGGGCCAGCAACAGCGCCCUUAUGGCUAUGACCAGGUGAGUAUUCCCACAACACCAGACAGUCACAGCGACUAGUUGCUCGAAGGCCGUAGUUCGUCCCGUAUUAUGUGUAUUUUAGACUUAGUCGUAUAUUUUGUGUAGCGAGACCAAUGUAAGUGUUAAAUAUUAAAGGUAGUUUGUUUUGCAUGCUCAUCAUAUUGUGGGGUUGAACCUGUUCUUCCCAACAGAGUUGUAUGUGUUACUUUUGUCUUUGCCUUGUUUAUUUGAGUCUUAGUUAUAUAUCUUGGCUAAUAAGGAAUGGCACUGCAGUGAAAUAUGAGGUCUUUAAGAGAAUUCUUCCUUAAACUUGAUGCAGACUGCUCCAGUGUUUAAAGGGAGAUCCAUUUGUUGCCCUGUAUUUCCUGUGGUCUUAUGUGGGGACCACAGCUAUACUUUGAUAUCUUUAUCUUUGAAUAUUCAGGGGCACAUGAGGAAAUAAAGACCCGGGGAUUUGAACCCCUGACUAGCUCUGUAAGAAGCAAAGGGCCAGUAUGGAAAUUACCAGCAAUGAGAGAUGGUCCCAGCAACCCACACCGCUCUGCUCUGAUCUGUCUGAGCUUUGACCUCUGGUCAACUGCAAAGCAGACUCAAAUGAUGGUUGUAGCUCGCUGAGAUUCUCUCUGACAUGAACAUACAACACUCAAAAAUACAAGAUACGUUUUCCCAUCUCUCUGCCUAUAAAAUGUAUUCUUUUUAUCAUGUACAUUGACUUGAUAAUGUCAAAGUCUGCGAUUCACCCUCCAGUCCAGUAUGUCUCACAGCAGCAAUGCCUUAAAAAAUGGAACUGCCUUAUCCUUUAGCAUUGCAGAUUGUGAAACGGACUGACAACAUUUUCGAUAUCAGAGACAAUUUAAAUGAACAGUUUCAAUCUACUGUGGUGCAUUGUUUCUCUAUCCUUAUCCUCGAUGUUUAUAAGAAGCAAUAAUGCCAGCAGUAGGGAACUGUGUGUGGGGGCUUGAAGAUGAAAUAAUGCACCAGAUGAACUUCCCGCUAGGCCAUGGUACGUGUCUUGAUGUAUGUGAUGAUGUAAAAAUAUAUUUUAUGCUUUUUAGAUCAAGCUAACUUUGUAUAAGACAUUGGGAACUAGUACUAAAGCUGUGUUGUUUAUUUCAUGAAGUGUAUGUGUCAAUGUUUUUUUAAUGAUGAUGCCAUCCAGCUCAUUUAGUUUUUUUUUAUGUUGAGUUGUAUUCCUAUUCAAUUGGAUCUGCUGCGUCAGUGACGUGUGCGCUGUAUGAAUUAUCUGUGUAAAAAUGAAACAUUAAAUGACUUGCACAGAAAAUCUGUGAAGGAAAAAUACAAACAUCAUCCCUGGAAUUAGAAAAUGAACAUAAACUUGGUGGAUUCUGUGUUAAGCUGUGUUUUUGAGUCUGAAAAAAGUCUAUAUCAAAUGUUGGUCAUGAACAGAAUAAUGGCAACAGGCCUUUAUUUGACAAUUGGGUGAAGAGGUGAAAUGUAGCAGAUGCCACUGCAAAUUGUAAGUCAAUGCUCUCUGAGCCUUUUUUCUUCAAAUCACCACAAAUAUUUCUGACAAUUUUGUUUUGUUAGUCUUGACAAUGCUGGAAUCCCUUUGAAUAAACGUCUAAGUUGAUGUCAUUCAAAUAGUGUUGUGUGUGAAUAAUAGAGAUUGUUACUGUCAAAUAUGUAACAUAAGAUGUGAAAAUAAUGUUCUCAAAUGGAUUCCUUAGUUUCACAGUAAAGACUGGUUGUGCAGUUUUAUAUCACUGGCUUGAUAUCUGUUUUAUGGUGCAUACUUUAUUGAUCCCAUAUGUACAGUGGUGUGAAGAAGAGGAAUUCACUGUCCUCCGAUAUUGUUUAUAUGGCUGUUUUAUUAUUUGGCAUUCUGCACCCCAUCCAAGUGGUCACAUUUGUGUCAUUGCAAUGUAUAACUGUACAUUACAAUAAAUUGGAAGAAUCUUUAA